GCUCUAGUGGUUUAGUAGUAUGACACUACCCUCCCAAGCAGGUGCGAAUCUGUUGUCUUCUGGGCAAGGUAGAGACUCGGGUGCAAAUCCCGGCUGGAGCA